UGGAAAUAUUAGUGGAUGGUGGAAAAGGCGGCAACAUAGAUUCAAUUGGUGGUGGAGCUACACUUGAUAGAGGACUACCCGCCGGUGCCGGAACUGGUACUGGUGACGCUAAAGGUGGCAGAUAUAAUGGAGAGGAAGCAACAUACAAGUUUUAAGAACUUUGAAUUCUUACCGUUGAAAUGGAAGAUGCUGCUUAUAGUGACAAUGAUGCUCAAUUUUCUAAGGUAAGACUUGGGAUCCAUGAGAUGAUGAAAUGCAAUUGCUGCAGCUAUAAGAUCUCAAGGACCAGAAAAAACACUCAAAUACAAUUAUGGGUUUUCUGCUAUAAGCAUCAGCAAACACAAUAUGAUAUAUAUAUAUAUAUAUUUAUAUGCAUGUAUAUAUAGAGAGAGGGGAAGCUGCCAGUAAGCUUUUAUAGUGAAGAAAAGAGAAUGAAGCAAAAGUUAUUGUUCACUUUAUAAGGUGAAGAAGUGAAGAAUGUCUAAGUAAACAGUGUAGAAAACAUAUGUAAAGUUUUGCAAAAGAAAGGCUUAUUAGAAGCUUGUUGAAGGGUAUUUUUAUCCUUUCUCCUGUUAUCUUGUUAGGAAUAAAUGCUUGCUUGGUUGCAGAGUAAUAUUAAAGAAACACUAGCUUUAUAUGA